rnacentral:rRNA from 1 species
CCUACGGGAGGCAGCAGUGAGGAAUAUUGGUCAUUGGCCGGAAGGCUGAACCAGCCAUGCCGCGUGAAGGUCAGUGCCCUAUGGGCGUUAAACUUCUUUUGUGCGGGAGCAAUAAUGGUCACGUGUGGCCAGACGAGAGUACCGUACGAAUAAGCAUCGGCUAACUCCGUGCCAGCAGCCGCGGUAAUACGGGGGAUGCAAGCGUUAUCCGGAUUUAUUGGGUUUAAAGGGUGCGUAGGCUUGGAGGUAAGUCAGCGGUGAAAUGCCCCCGCUCAACGGGGUGAAGUGCCAUUGAUACUGCCUUGCUGGAAUGCGGAUGCCGUGGGAGGAAUGUGUGGUGUAGCGGUGAAAGGCAUAGAUAUCACACAGAACACCGAUUGCGAAGGCAUCUCACGAAUCCGCGAUUGACGCUGAUGCACGAAAGCGUGGGUAUCAAACAGGAUUAGAUACCCGAGUAGUC